rnacentral:rRNA from 1 species
ACUGCGCCGAAAAUGUACCGGGGCUAAACAUAUUACCGAAGCUGUGGAUUGUCCUUUGGACAAUGGUAGGAGAGCGUUCUAAGGGCGUUGAAGCAUGAUCGUAAGGACAUGUGGAGCGCUUAGAAGUGAGAAUGCCGGUGUGAGUAGCGAAAGACGGGUGAGAAUCCCGUCCACCGAUUGACUAAGGUUUCCAGAGGAAGGCUCGUCCGCUCUGGGUUAGUCGGGUCCUAAGCUGAGGCCGACAGGCGUAGGCGAUGGAUAACAGGUUGAUAUUCCUGUACCACCUAUAAUCGUUUUAAUCGAUGGGGGGACGCAGUAGGAUAGGCGAAGCGUGCGAUUGGAUUGCACGUCUAAGCAGUAAGGCUGAGUAUUAGGCAAAUCCGGUACUCGUUAAGGCUGAGCUGUGAUGGGGAGAAGACAUUGAGUCUUCGAGUCGUUGAUUUCACACUGCCGAGAAAAGCCUCUAGAUAGAAAAUAGGUGCCCGUACCGCAAACCGACACAGGUAGUCAAGAUGAGAAUUCUAAGGUGAGCGAGCGAACUCUCGUUAAGGAACUCGGCAAAAUGACCCCGUAACUUCGGGAGAAGGGGUGCUCUUUAGGGUUAACGCCCAGAAGAGCCGCAGUGAAUAGGCCCAAGCGACUGUUUAUCAAAAACACAGGUCUCUGCUAAACCGUAAGGUGAUGUAUAGGGGCUGACGCCUGCCCGGUGCUGGAAGGUUAAGAGGAGUGGUUAGCUUCUGCGAAGCUACGAAUCGAAGCCCCAGUAAACGGCGGCCGUAACUAUAACGGUCCUAAGGUAGCGAAAUUCCUUGUCGGGUAAGUUCCGACCCGCACGAAAGGCGUAACGAUUUGGGCACUGUCUCAACGAGAGACUCGGUGAAAUCAUAGUACCUGUGAAGAUGCAGGUUACCCGCGACAGGACGGAAAGACCCCGUGGAGCUUUACUGUAGCCUGAUAUUGAAAUUCGGCACAGCUUGUACAGGAUAGGUAGGAGCCUUUGAAACGUGAGCGCUAGCUUACGUGGAGGCGCUGGUGGGAUACUACCCUAGCUGUGUUGGCUUUCUAACCCGCACCACUUAUCGUGGUGGGAGACAGUGUCAGGCGGGCAGUUUGACUGGGGCGGUCGCCUCCUAAAAGGUAACGGAGGCGCUCAAAGGUUCCCUCAGAAUGGUUGGAAAUCAUUCAUAGAGUGUAAAGGCAUAAGGGAGCUUGACUGCGAGACCUACAAGUCGAGCAGGGUCGAAAGACGGACUUAGUGAUCCGGUGGUUCCGCAUGGAAGGGCCAUCGCUCAACGGAUAAAAGCUACCCCGGGGAUAACAGGCUUAUCUCCCCCAAGAGUUCACAUCGACGGGGAGGUUUGGCACCUCGAUGUCGGCUCAUCGCAUCCUGGGGCUGUAGUCGGUCCCAAGGGUUGGGCUGUUCGCCCAUUAAAGCGGUACGCGAGCUGGGUUCAGAACGUCGUGAGACAGUUCGGUCCCUAUCCGUCGUGGGCGUAGGAAAUUUGAGAGGAGCUGUCCUUAGUACGAGAGGACCGGGAUGGACAUACCUCUGGUGUACCAGUUGUCGUGCCAACGGCAUAGCUGGGUAGCUAUGUGUGGACGGGAUAAGUGCUGAAAGCAUCUAAGCAUGAAGCCCCCCUCAAGAUGAGAUUUCCCAACUUCGGUUAUAAGAUCCCUCAAAGAUGAUGAGGUUAAUAGGUUCGAGGUGGAAGCAUGGUGACAUGUGGAGCUGACGAAUACUAAUCGAUCGAAGACUUAAUCAA